UACGGAGGGUGCGAACGUUAAUCGGAAUCACUGGGCGUAAAGCGCGCGUAGGCGGUCUGUUAAGUGGGAUGUGAAAUCCCCGGGCUUAACCUGGGAAUUGCAUUUCAAACUGGCCGACUAGAGUACGGUAGAGGGAGGUAGAAUUUCCUGUGUAGCGGUGAAAUGCGUAGAUAUUGGGAAGAACACCUGAGGCGAAGGCGGGUUGCUGGGCUGAUACUGACGCUGAGGCGCGAAAGCCAGGGGAGCAAACGGG
rnacentral:rRNA from 1 species